UUCUGCGAGAAAGUAAACUUUGGGCACGACAAGUCAUGAAGUCGGCACGUUGGGGAGACACCGUGUCACAAUGACAAGGUUUCUAGUUCGUGCUUUGUUCAGAUUGCCCAGAAGCUGAUGAUCACAGAGAAGAGGUCAUAUUUGUCAUGAGAAAGCUUUCCUGCACCAGGAUUCAGUAAAGGCGUUUACCAGCAGGGCCCAUGGUGCCUCCAGAGGCAGGAUGGUGCUCAAAACCCAUCACUGAGGCCAGGAAGUGAGGACAAAAGUUGAGGGCUGCCCAUAGGAAAGAGAAAAAAUGCUCCCUUUGGGUUUCCAAGUAGUUACUGCUUAUUGUUGCAUCAGUCUUGCUCCUGACCACGAUGUGUUCCUUGUUCAUUCUCCUUGGUAUCCCACUGAUUGUGCAUCUAUGAAAAAGAAGACAGGAUCGGGGGUGGUGCAAAGAACAACUGCAUCCUUCUAGAGCUGAUGCCCUGGUGAGCUCUGAAGCACACUUAGCAGAGCCUGAAAUCUACUCUCCCUGUGGGGUGUUUGUGUAGCAUUCCUAUUAAUUAUUCAUUAAAUAUUUAGCAGAAUUUACCAGUGAAGCUAUCUGAACCUUUUUUAUGGGAAGGAAUUUUAUUAACCUCUUUACCUGUUGUGCCAUGAUUUCUGAGACUUUUCUAAAGAGAAUGAUCAAGAAUUUGCUGUAGUUAAGUGACAAAGAAUAUACCUGUGGACUGUAAACUGCACUCAUAAAAAUAAAAAGGAUA
rnacentral:lncRNA from 1 species